GCAGAGCUGGGCCUCAAGGAACACCACCAAAAUGAAGUUAUUAACUAUAUACGAUUUGCACGCUCUAAGUGUGGCUUACGUCUCAAGACUGUAGACUCUUGUUUUCAGGACCUUAAGGACAGCAGGCUUGUGGAAGAGACCUUCACAAUAGAUGAAGUGUCAGAUAUGCUGGAUGGCUUGCAGACUGUGGUACAGUGAAGUUGAGUCAGAACUUAUUAAUACAGCAUACACAAAUGUGUUACUCCUGCGCCAGAUAUUUUCCCAAGCCAAAAAGUUAUAUCUUAAACUGCAGACUGACUUCUCUGAGCUGGAAAAUAGGAACUUAUUAGAGCAAGUUUGAAAAGGCAGAAUUUGUAUCUUCAAUUAAGAAG